UAUAAAAUUUUCUGUACAUUAUUAAUGUUAAUGAAAAUGAAUUAUUACAUUCCGUUAAUCAGACGCAGCUUGUAGUUACCUAAUCUUUACCGAUCACUUGAAAAAUUAGUCGUAUUAUCGCCUUUUACAUAAAAUCAGCGGAGUGUGUUUACACUUUUGCUCGUCACUGUAUAUACUUCAUGUAUUAAUUU